GCUCACUGAAGUCACAGCAUAGGCAUGGAUGGCUCAGAUGAAACCUCCACUAACGACAGUGCUCUAUGCCAGUUUGGAUUGCGUGUGGCCACCGGCAGAAGUGUCUUGUAAUUUGGUCUCUAUGGUGGAGUGGUUCUUAACAGUUCUUCCAAAAUUGUGAAAUGUUUAGGACCACUUGAUCAGGUGGACAAAUUCUUCCAAGGCAAUAGAUGGAGUAGCCUACACUGAGAACCAUGAAUCCUUACGUGUUUUAUUUUACCCUUAUUUUACCAGAAUAUCAAGGACCAUUCUUAUCUGUCAGAAAAGAUAUAUCAUCCCUCUCCCUUAAACUUCCCGCAAGGACCUGAGGACUACCUGGCAUGAUGACUCCUUGCUGUCCCCAGUACACCUGGCCGUGCUCCUGCUCCAGU
ensembl:lncRNA